UUUCCGUAGGUGAACCUGCGGAAGGAUCAUUAUCAUGUAAUUCAGUCCCCUUGGCUGUGUUAUAUAUAUACCCACUCUGUGUACCUUCUCCUGUUGCUUCCGCUGGGUGUGUAAUUCGCCCGGCGGAAGGGUAAAAAUAACCUCUGAGUAUUGAUGAAAUCUCUGUCUGAACCGAAUAGAAGGAAUAAUGUUAAAACUUUCAGCAACGGAUCUCUUGGUUCUC
rnacentral:misc_RNA from 1 species